AUGGACGCAGUCUGAUGGAGCAACGCCGCGUGAGUGAAGAAGGGUUUCGGCUCGUAAAGCUCUGUUGGUAGUGAAGAAAGAUAGAGGCAGUAACUGGCCUUUAUUUGACGGUAAUUACUUAGAAAGUCACGGCUAACUACGUGCCAGCAGCCGCGGUAAUACGUAGGUGGCAAGCGUUGUCCGGAUUUAUUGGGCGUAAAGCGAGUGCAGGCGGCUCAAUAAGUCUGAUGUGAAAGCCUUCGGCUCAACCGGAGAAUUGCAUCAGAAACUGUUGAACUUGAGUGCAGAAGAGGAGAGUGGAACUCCAUGUGUAGCGGUGGAAUGCGUAGAUAUAUGGAAGAACACCAGUGGCGAAGGCGGCUCUCUGGUCUGCAACUGACGCUGAGGCUCGAAAGCAUGGGUAGCGAACAGGAUUAGAUACCCUGGUAGUCCAUGCCGUAAACGAUGAGUGCUAAGUGUUGGGAGGUUUCCGCCUCUCAGUGCUGCAGCUAACGCAUUAAGCACUCCGCCUGGGGAGUACGACCGCAAGGUUGAAACUCAAAGGAAUUGACGGGGGCCCGCACAAGCGGUGGAGCAUGUGGUUUAAUUCGAAGCAACGCGAAGAACCUUACCAGGUCUUG
rnacentral:rRNA from 1 species